rnacentral:rRNA from 1 species
UUGCUUAGUGGCGGACGGGUGAGUAACGCGUGAACAAUCUGCCCCGUACAAAGGGAUAGCCUCGGGAAACCGGGAUUAAAACCAUAUAACACUUAACUGCCGCAUGGUAGUGAAGUCAAAUCGAGUAAGAGGUAUGGGAUGAGUUCGCGUCUGAUUAGCUAGUUGGUGAGGUAAGGGCUCACCAAGGCGACGAUCAGUAGCCGGCCUGAGAGGGUGAACGGCCACACUGGAACUGAGACACGGUCCAGACUCCUACGGGAGGCAGCAGUGGGGAAUAUUGCACAAUGGAGGGAACUCUGAUGCAGCGACGCCGCGUGAGUGAAGAAGGUCUUCGGAUCGUAAAACUCUGUCCUUGGUGACGAAGAAAAUGACGGUAGCCAAGGAGGAAGCCCCGGCUAACUACGUGCCAGCAGCCGCGGUAAUACGUAGGGGGCGAGCGUUGUCCGGAUUUACUGGGCGUAAAGGGUGAGUAGGCGGUUAUAUAUGUCAGGUGUAAAAAGCUAUGGCUUAACCAUAGUAAGCACUUGAAACUGUAUGACUUGAGUGCAGGAGAGGUAAGCGGAAUUCCUAGUGUAGCGGUGAAAUGCGUAGAUAUUAGGAGGAACACCGGUGGCGAAGGCGGCUUACUGGACUGUAACUGACGCUGAGUCACGAAAGCGUGGGUAGCAAACAGGAUUAGAUACCCUGGUAGUCCACGCCGUAAACGAUGAGUGCUAGGUGUUGGGUAGCAAUGCUCAGUGCCGAAGUAAACACAAUAAGCACUCCGCCUGGGGAGUACGUACGCAAGUAUGAAACUCAAAGGAAUUGACGGGGACCCGCACAAGCAGCGGAGCAUGUGGUUUAAUUCGAAGCAACGCGAAGAACCUUACCAAGGCUUGACAUCCCCUUGACAGAUGCAGAGAUGUAUCCUCCCCUUCGGGGGCAAGGGAGACAGGUGGUGCAUGGUUGUCGUCAGCUCGUGUCGUGAGAUGUUGGGUUAAGUCCCGCAACGAGCGCAACCCUUAUCCUUAGUUGCCAGCAUUUAAGGUGGGCACUCUAAGGAGACUGCCGGUGAUAAACCGGGGGAAGGUGGGGAUGACGUCGAGUCAUCAU